CCAGUUGGUCUUCAUCCUUCUCCAAUAAUUUCUCAAAAUUCUUCCAACAAAUUGAAAAGUUUACAGUUGCUUCAUUUCCUAACGAAGCAAGCACCAUGAAGCAAAAACUCGUGAUCAAGGUUUCGAUGAAUAACCACACCUCAGGAUUUCAUUGUUUCGGCCCCCAAAGCCCUCACUCCAAAGCUAUGAAACUCGCGGGUGGCUUCCAAGGAGUACAAUCCGUGGCACUGGUGGGUGACCGAGACCGGAUCGAGGUGACCGGAGAUGUCGACGCGGUUAACCUCACGAAUUUACUUAGGAAGAAAGUUGGGUUUGCGGAGAUAGUCACCGUGAGCAAGGCUGAUGAGAAAGACGAGAAAGAAAGCGAGAGCAGGGACAAGGCAGCACAAGCCAUCAUGUGGUCGUACGGAGUCCCGCACCGCGAAAUCGCCUAUGUCGUGGACCCAUGUUACAGCGAGCCCUCAUGCUCGAUCAUGUAGGAUCAACAAGGAUUGACGAUGAUGCCUUAUAUAAAUAUACACCAUCGAUGGUUUUUAAAAUUUUAUUACACAAACAGAUUGGAGAAAUGAAUAAGAUCGAUUGCCCAUUUUCAUUGA